rnacentral:rRNA from 1 species
CCUACGGGUGGCAGCAGUGAGGGAUAUUGGACAAUGGGGGAAACCCUGAAGCAGCAACGCCGCGUGGGGGAAGACGGGUUUCGGAUCGUAAACCUCUGUCGUCAGGGAAGAUGAUGACGGUAGCAGAGGAAGAAGCUCCGGUUAACUACGUGCCAGCAGCCGCGGUAAUACGUAGGGAGCAAGCGUUAUCCGGAUUUACUGGGUGUAAAGGGUGCGUAGGCGGCAAUGCAAGUCAGAAGUGAAAGCCCGGGGCUUAACCCCGGGACUGCUGUUGAAACUGUAGGGCUGGAGUGCAGGAGGGGCAGGCGGAAUGCCUGGUGUAGCGGUGAAAUGCGUAGAGAUUGGGAGGAACACCAGUGGCGAAGGCGGCCUGCUGGACUUUAACUGACGUUGAAGCACGAAAGCGUGGGUAGCAAACAGGAUUAGAUACCCUGGUAGUC